rnacentral:rRNA from 1 species
AUGGCGGAGGCGCGGCGCAGCCACCCGUCGCAGUACGUGAAGCUGACCAAGGACCAGGACGCUUCCGCCUGCGGCCCCGGCGUGGAGGACAUCCGCCCUGGCGAGCUCAACCUGCCCGUCGCCGUCCCGCAGCUGGAGCGGAUGAAGUGCAUCCAGUGUGGGCAGGUGCUGCCUGAGGGCCACCAGGCGCCGGCCGACGAGCCGUGGACAACCGGCAUCUUCGGUUGCGCUGAGGACCCCGAGAGCUGCUGGACUGGACUAUUCUGCCCCUGUGUGUUGUUUGGACGAAAUGUUCAGGCCCUUAGAGAAGAUAUCCCAUGGACAAGACCCUGCACUUGCCAUGCUGUCUGCGUUGAAGGUGGCAUUGCAUUGGCAAUUCUCACGGCUAUAUUCCAUGGUGUUGACCCAGACACAUCGAUCCUGAUUGGUGAAGGCCUGGUCUGCAGUUGGUGGAUAUGCUCUCAAUAUACUGGUAUUAUUCGUGAAAAGCUUCAGAAGAAGUAUCAUCUUGAGAACUCUCCAUGCGAUCCUUGCAUAGUCCACUGCUGCUUCCACUACUGCGCGAACUGUCAGGAGCAUCGUGAAAGGAAAGGCCGACUUGCAGAAAACAGUGUUGUUCCAAUGACCGUUGUCAACCCACCGCCGCUGCAAGAGAUGAGCAUGGCUGAGAACAACGCUCCCACAUCCGAGAAUGAAGGGUCAAAGGCAGCAUGA